rnacentral:rRNA from 1 species
GACGAACGCUGGCGGCGUGCCUAAUACAUGCAAGUAGAACGCUGAAGGAGGAGCUUGCUUCUCCGGAUGAGUUGCGAACGGGUGAGUAACGCGUAGGUAACCUGCCUGGUAGCGGGGGAUAACUAUUGGAAACGAUAGCUAAUACCGCAUAACAGUAGAUAUUGCAUGAUAUCUGCUUGAAAGUUGCAAUUGCAUCACUACCAGAUGGACCUGCGUUGUAUUAGCUAGUUGGUGAGGUAACGGCUCACCAAGGCGACGAUACAUAGCCGACCUGAGAGGGGGAUCGGCCACACUGGGACUGAGGCACGGCCCAGACUCCUACGGGAGGCAGCAGUAGGGAAUCUUCGGCAAGGGACGGAAGUCUGACCGAGCAACGCCGCGGGAGUGAAGAAGGUUUUCGGAUCGUAAAGCUCUGUUGUAAGAGAAGAACGAGUGUGAGAGUGGAAAGUUCACACUGUGACGGUAACUUACCAGAAAGGGACGGCUAACUACGUG